GCCGUAAAACACCCCACUUCUCAAGGUUGACCUCAGAUCAGGUAGGAAUACCCG
rnacentral:rRNA from 1 species